UACGUAGGGCGCAAGCGUUGUCCGGAAUUAUUGGGCGUAAAGAGCUCGUAGGCGGCCUGUUACGUCUGCUGUGAAAUCCCGGGGCUUAACCCCGGGCGUGCAGUGGAUACGGGCAGGCUGGAGGCAGGCAGGGGAGAACGGAAUUCCCGGUGUAGCGGUGAAAUCGCGCAGAGUAUCGGGAGGAACACCGGUGGCGAAGGCGGUUCUCUGGGCCUGUACUGACGCUGAGGA
rnacentral:rRNA from 1 species